CGACAGGUUCCUCGCUCGCCCGCUCUCUGUGUCUCGUUACUCCGGCGUCAGUUUGUGUCGAGUCGCCGAGUGCCGAGGUGAUCGCCAGACGACCGCCAGCAUCCGCCCAACUCGACCAGUGUCUCGCUAGUCCGUCUGGCGAUGGAGAGGAACCGAGCGCGAAGUGAGGCGAGGAAAAUGAGCCAAAUGAGAUGAAAUGUGACUCAUUCGGAAUGUUAAAUAUGGCGGAGGCAGCGGCGCGUGGAGUGUCGCUGAAAAAUCCCGUCUGAACUCGGCCAUCUCGGAGUGUGCUGUGUGUGAGCGGAAAAAAAGAGAGAAAGAAAAACAAUGUGAGUAAAUAAGUAAAGAAAGAACAAGAAAAAAAAAAAUACAGGUAAAUAAAUAAAUAGAAAAUCGAAGGAGCAUAAAAAAGAAAGAAAGACAAGAAAAGAAAGAAAAAAAGAAUUAAAGAAAAAUAAACGAAGGAGCAUUAAAAAGAAGAUAGAAAGAUUAUGAUUCCUCAUGAGUGUCUUGGUGUCCCCCAGCAGGAAGCCAGAGUAGGACACGUGAUACACUGAGACAAGGCGUGUGACGGGCAAGUCCAUCCCGCUGUUUCUCUCGCAGUGACGGUGCACGCACCGCGGCGAACCGCCAUUAUGGAGUGUUAGGUGCAAGAUGAUGACCAACAGCAUGGAGCAGAACGACUGGAAAGUUCCUCCCGACAACACCGUCCAGGUGGUUGAUCCUAUGGGCAUGAACGAGG